GACCUCGGAUCAGGUAGGAAUACCCGCUGAACUUAAGCAUAUCAUA
rnacentral:rRNA from 1 species